rnacentral:tRNA from 1 species
GGACCAGUAGCUUAGUCUGAUUUAAAGCGCCUCCCUGUCACGGAGGAGAGCACGGGUUUAAAUCCCGUCUGGUCCG